AAUAUUUUGUUACUUGUACAUCUGCAGCUGCCUUACGAGAAACAAAAAACAUCCAGAGCAAGAUUUUAUUUUAGAUUGACCUAUUCUAUUAAACAUGAAAACUGUGAUUCUUUUGUUUGCCUUAUUAUGCUUUGCAGCUGUUGAAGUUGCUGAUGCUGAUUAUGGGUGUCCAUUCAAGCAGACAAAAUGUUACAAACAUUGCUUAGCUAGGAGAUGCGGCGGAGAAUUUUGUGGUGGAUGGUUUGGCAUAAAGUGCAAAUGUACUCGCUGUGGCCGUUAACAAACUGCAGUUCUACGAAAAAUGGUGAUUGACAGAAUUGAUCUACAGAUCUGGUUCUCGUGUUUAUAUAAU